AUCUUCGACACUGGGACAAAUCCAGGGAUGCAGUCCAGGGUUUCCCGCGGCUUCGGCGCUUCCUGACCUGGCGUGACUGCCGACUUCUCGACACCACCCAGGCCUCAGGCUCCCUGUCUGUAGUGGUGAAUCGACCUUCCUCAAGGCAGUCCAGGCUCCCCAAGCCCCACGUCCUGGUGAUCCGGGACAAACCUUUCCUUGAACAUUCUUCACUACGAGCCGCUGCUGAUCUGUACUGCCUGGAAGAGCAUUUCCAUAGCGCCCGCAAAAAUACAAUAAAGCUCACCCAAGGAAAUAACCAGGGAUUCUCACGCCUGGGUGUCAGUGUUUGGAAUCGACUGGGCUUUUUUAUGUUAGUAGGCAAUUUAAAACAAUUACUUAUUUGAAAUCAGAAGCGCAAUAGGCACAAUUUCAGCUCAAGAUCCCAGAGGAAGAGGAGCCAUCUUUCCCAGUGGCUUUAGCAGAAAAGACAAAUGGAGACUCGCCAAGCUUUGGUCAUGAACUCA
rnacentral:antisense_RNA from 1 species